GAGUUUGAUCGUGGCUCAGAUUGAACGCUGGCGGCAGGCCUAACACAUGCAAGUCGAGCGGAUGAAGGGAGCUUGCUCCUGGAUUCCAGCGGCGGACCGGGUGAGUAAUGCCUAGGAAUCUGCCUGGGUAGUGGGGGAUAACGUCCGGAAACGGGCGCUAAUACCGCAUACGUCCUGAGGGGAGAAAGUGGGGGAUCUUCGGACCUCACGCUAUCAGAUGAGCCUAGGUCGGGAUUAGCUAGUUGGUGGGG
rnacentral:rRNA from 1 species